CAUGGGUUUAAAUUUAAGCUCUGAAUAGCUGCAAUAGCUUAGAUUCUCAAGGUAGUAUAACAUCUAACUCCUGUUGGAGGUAGGGCAGUUCAGUCUCUGGGAAAUUGCCAUUGUCUGAAAUAUGACAGUGACCGAGAUAAGCACAGCCUCAGGCAUCUCCUCUUGCCUUAAUAGCUAGAUAAGUUGUUUACUGUCUAGGUCAGUAGAUGGAUGUCUCACACGCAGUAUGUCACACCAUCUGUGAGCUAUGACCAGAUAAUGCUACUGCUUCUGCAAAGGCCUCAGAAUCAGUCACACAAUUGUCUGCAACUCCGAACAGCAGCUGCAAGAUCACAACUGUGCACAGUAGUCCCGCCCCAUAGACUGUUGCGGUUCCUUAGCCCAAAUCCAUCAACAGAAAAUGUGGAGGGCAUAUGGGAAGAGAGGUGAGUAAAGUCUCUUGUGCCCUUUGACAGUGGCAGCAUGAGCCAGUUUUGGAGACCUCCUAAUGGAGUUCCUAAACUUAAAAUAUAAAGAAAGCCUCAGCAGUCUGCAGUGUUAUUUCAAAGAGUAGAAAUAUUCUUCCUUUGAUGGUUUAGGCAUAGAAUUAAAAAGUUCUGUGUGUAUUUUAUGCUGCUGAAUAUUUUGAGAAAGAUUUGAGGUUACACCUAAAGGAGAAAUUUCUCUUAUGAGUUAGGCCUGAAUGACUUUCCUUAGAAUUAACAAAUAAGAAAUGAAAGACAAACCUCUUCCUUCAAAAAAAAAGUUAUAAAAUGUAUUUGUAGUUGUCUUUUUUUGUUGUUUGUUGUUUUGUUUUUAAUUUUGUUUAUUGUUCUUUUGGUAUUAUUAUUUUAGCAUUAUAUAUGUUAGGUAACUACAAGGAUUUAAACAAAAUUACUAGUUUUUAUUCAAUAAGAUUUUAAAUAAGAGAUCUAGCAGUCAGUGCCAAUUUAAACUCUUGUUUCCUAGUAAAGAGCAAACCCAGGGACUGUUUAACUUUUCUGGUUUAAAUUCUUCAUUAAAAAGUAAAAGUUUAAAUUGGCAGGAAAACAGCUGUUCAUGCUGCUAGUACACUAACAUCAGAGAAAUCUGACUUUUAGCUCUUGGUAUUCUGCCAGGUAGUGUACUGUAUAUGACCAUGAUAAACACAGAAAAAAGGAAUGAGGUGAGAUAAGUUUCAUUUAGCCUUUAUUGCCCUAAAGGAUUUAAUGUAAAUAAUUAAAUAUUUGCUCAGUAACCCUUAAAACCAUAACCAAUGCUCUUUCAAAAUCUUUUGAUAUUGCAUUAGGCAGCAAGUCCAAAAAAUAUGGUGGCAUAUCACUGCAAAGUACAAUCUUGUUUGGUGAUACGAUUGGCACUCACUUCUGAAGGAAAAGUCCUUGUAACUUAAAGGUCUGCUUACAAGUGAUAGGCCUUUUUGCUCAUGAGUAAAAUAAUUAUGUAAGGUAUUACACCACUUAGCCCUCUUAAAAGUUAUAGCAUCAGGAUCCUGAUGCUGCAGCUUGGCAUUUCAACUGUAGGAACUGAGUUUUCACAUUUAAUAUCAGCUACUUUGGAUCUCAUCCACCUAAAACUUGGCAGAAAGGUUUGUCUGCCCAGAUGAUUUUUUUAACAGCUCAAAAUUAGUUAAGAUUUUCUAGCUGUAAAGCAGCCAAAAAUUCGUUUGGAGCUUGUUAUAGAUGUAUUUUUUUAACUGGCUAUGAUUAUAAAAUGAUUCUGUUAAAAAUAAAUAAAUAAAAGGACAGUAUUCUACUUGUCACCUUUUUUUUUUUUUUUUUAAAUUGCUGCACUUUGAAUUUUGAAGCAAAAUAAAAAAAGGGGGGAAAAAAGAAGGUUUAAAACACUCAACAGACAAAAAAUGAAAAUUAAUAUUGGUACUAGGGACAAGUGAAUUCUCAAGCAGUCUGCACCAUACCUAAGUAACAGGAGUGGUCAAAAGUAAAUAGACUUUAUAGAAUUAAAAAAAAAAAAAAAAAAGACAUUCUUCUCUUGCACCACAGAGUGUCAGUCUUGCUUUUUGCUGUGUCUACAUAGAUGUCAUGUCUACAGGGAGAGACAACCACUCUCAAACUGGUACAGCCAGUGAACCACCAUCAACCAUCUAAAUUUCUCAUGAGUUACUGUGCACUCUUAUCAUCAAUCUUUUAAAUAAAGACUUGUAUAAAGCAUUUGACUCUGAGGACCAAAUAUGUUGGUUUUAUGGUCCAGCGGUAUACUGAAAACCAGUGGAAGGAGUCAAAGAAGAGUUAAGUUUUGCUACGGGCUUUGACAUAGUUAUACAAAAAAUUGACUUUAAUAUUGGCUAAUUGCUAGAAUGGGUCAAUCUGAAAGAUUUUAGGCUAUCAUCAGUCUCAAGAGUGUCUGAUACCUUGCCAGUAGAAUUAAAUAAAAAAUAUAGGUCUUUCACUUUGCUAUUCAGCAGGUAAAUCACGCAGAUUUAGAACAUGGGCAUACUUAAUAGACUGGAUUAAGGACAGGAUCCUAAACCAACUGAAGCCCUUGAGUACUUACAGUCGGAGAUGUGCAAAUCACUGAUUCCCUGCUUCACUGUCUGAACUGAAAAAAAAAAAAGAAAAUGUAUUACUUUGAUCCCAAACCAAACCAAUAUGUUUCAAUGCCUUCUGCAGGUUUAAAAAAAAAAAAUCAGUCUAAACCAUAAAGCUUUUAGUUUUGCUUAGAAAAUUUUUAAAGUUCACUUUACUAAGCAAAAGUAUAUUUAAGUUUGAAACGUCAUUUCAAAAUGAACAAAACAAAACACAGCUAUUAGAACAUGCCUAAGGAAAUAUUUUGACCCCCCAGAAAUUGUUUACUUUUUCUCUCCAGUAAUGAAAAUACAAAGUCUUCUGAUUAACUCAUAUCCUAAUUAUUCAAUAAUAAAAAUAAUCUUUAAAGAAAUAAAACAGUUUAAUUUUGCUUUGAAGGAUUUUCAGGCUAGUCCAUGGAUAUCUCAGUUAUGGUGAGGUACCGCCAAAAACCACCUUUUUCAAGAGCGCGUUACACUGCUAACUAAUUGUCUCACACAUAGGACAAUAUUCGUCCCUUACAUAGGUUCUUGCACAUGUAUGCCCCUUUUCUCUUUCUUCUACUGUUCUGCACUUUGAGAUGCUUAUGUUAAAAAAAAAAAAGAAAAUAGCAAUUCUUGACUAGAUAAAAAUGUCUGUCAGUCUGUCAUCAAGGAUUAUAUACAGAGUCAUGUUUUUACCAGUUAUAUACAUGUAUAUGCUUAUAUAUAUAUAUAAAUAUAUAUAUAUAUUUAUCAGCAGGCAGAGAUAGUCUCCUGGGCUUGUCAUCAUGAUGUUACCAUGUUGCUACUGCAACUUUCCAUAUGUCCUUACACCCAGGACAGCAUUACUGUAAUAAUAUCAAUGUCAUCAGCUCUUUCCAUGUGCAUGGUGUCUAAGCAACGUGGCAGACUGCAGUGUGGUACUCCCUCUUAUAUUCCUAUCUUGGAUUUAAAAACCUUCUAUUAGGAAAAGAAGAUCCCAACUGGAAUGAGAUUAUAACACAAUCAUCCAAUUCAGAACAUUAUGCCAUGAUUGUAGCAGCAUGUUAGAAACUCCCUCUGCUCCCGGGCUUAAUGAAAUCUGAACUUAUUAUAUGGUUCAGCACAGUUUUUGGAAGGCAACCAAUAAGUAUGGGAGGUUUACAAUUGAGACGAGGAGCUUGUUUGCCAGGAUUUGACUCUCUCGAGGAAAGCUAACUGCAGGGCCAGAUCUUUUCUUUUCAUUGGAUAUAAAACAGCUAUACUCAUAGCAGUAUUUACUGGUGAUGGCAGCCUGUGAUAGAGCUAUGUCUUUCCAGCAGUACUUUAACCAGAGAAUACCCAGUAACGAUUGUAUACCUGCUCAACAGUGCUUUGCUGUUUAUAUAAAACUAUUCGAGAAGGGGCACUUGACUGCAGUGGAGCAUUUUAAUGCAGAAAUCUACCUAUUAAGUAAAAAACACAUGCUACACCUUUCUAGGUCUUACUGUAUGUGAAAUUUUAAUGUGGAGAUAACCUGGAAUGAAAAAAAAAAAAAAAAAAGGAAAGCUGUGUACCUGCACACAACUGCUUGUUCUGUUUUUUCAGGCUAACAGCUUAGCUGUAACAUUUGCACAUUAGCUAAAUAACAUCUCAAGGGGAGCUGAGGAUAGAACCUUGAUGUCUCCUGAUUGUACAUGUGUGAGUUUGUGCUCUCAGAGGAUGGUCCUUAAAAAACUCCCUGCUGGAAGCUAUUGUGCAUAUUGUAAAAGGACUGUUGCUAAGUGCCAAUUGAGCUAGUACUGUAUACUUGCCAUUUUAAAAGAAGAUUUCAUACCACUUGAUUAUGUUAAAUAGAAAUGUUUGAAAUUUAAACUGAAUUACAUCAAAAUGGCACAGUAGUUAUAUGUCUAAAGAGCUGCUGCUACUCUCUCUCGUAACUAAUGUCAAUCCCUUCUGGUAGACAGUUUUAUUUGAAACUGUGACAUAGUAUUUUACAGGAGAAGUUUAGAGAGCCUUGAUAUAAAAAAGUCAUAAAUAAAUACUACUGUAAAAACCAGGCUUGUGUUUGUAUUAGCAAGAAAGAAUCCCUUAAUAUUUAAGUGCUGUCUUUAACUAAAAUGAGAGAAAAAUUCUUAAGGUCAGAGGUUCAUCUUUGGCCUUUAGGUUGUGUUAAGGUCAUAGGGUUUUUUUUUGUGCAGAUAAUGAUUGUUUAUGGGAACUUGGUAAAUUCCAAUAGCACAAGCUAGACAAUACAUUUAGUAGAAAUAAUACAGAAACUUCCUGAAGACCAGCUUACCAUGAGCAAAAAGAAAUAAUAAUAUUAACAAUAGCCAGACAUCAUGACAAUCAAACUGAAAUGAGAAAUCUGAGAUCCUUAUCAGGUAGAUGGGAAAGGAGUGAAUAAUACUGUACAAGCAAUCUUGUACUGCAAAUGUAUUUAAAACUUGGAAGGAAGAUGGGCACAUACUCUGCAUGUACGCAUCCAGCAUUUUUAUGAUCAACAACAGAGGGCGUUGUAUGCAGAGAUGGAAAAAUAUGAUAAACUACUAUUAAAAAUGCUUCUUAGAAUUCACAUAUUUGAGGGAUAUUUGAAAAGCAGAUCAGGGAAGUAAACAAAAGAAACAGUCUGAUAUGCUUACGUAAUUUUAGAGCAUUUUCCAGAAGGUAUCUUCCUGAGUUUUCAUGUUGAAUUUUUGUUGUUUUUUUUUUUUUUUUAAGUGCAAAAACACAGGUAAAAUAAAUACCCUUUUGUGAAAAAAUAUACUUCAGUUCAUACCAGACAAAUAGGGUGGGAAGUCUGAAUUUUUCAAGCAUUUCAUAUUUCAGAUGGUAUUGAAAUUUGAAAAUGCAAUUUUUCACUUAGGGAGGGAGGAGAAAUAAAUCAUUUAAACAGGUGAAAUAACAGCCCAGGUGCACCAAAUAUGUUGUUUCCCAUUCUAGAGUAUUAUUUUAUUUUGCACUGUGAUGAAAUGCUUAGCUGACCUCCCCACUCUGUAAUCAAUCUUAUUUUACCCUUUGAAGGCAAUUGAUAAUUUCCUUAAUAGACCAACUGUAUUUCCAUGCCUUUUUCCUCAGUCUCCUGUGAUGUCACCAGAAUGAAGUGGUUAAUUAUUUGUGCUGGAAAUGAAAACCCACUACCAGUUCCCUUUGCAAGGAUACUAGACUGCAUUCAGCAGUCCCAUAUAGCAUUCUACUUUACACUCCGGUCUUGUCUUCCAGUGUUUUUUAUAUCGUCCAGAGGUCACACUGUACACCUUGGCUUGUCUCUUCAUCUACACACCUGAUCUCAAGCUCAGUAUCCAGUGGUGAUACCUGGCUCAUUGGCAUAUUCCAAAAAUAUUUUGAAGUUCUCAGACUAUUACACUACAGUUUUACAAAUCAUCCAUGGAUCCUUUCAGAAUGCAUUGAACUGGUAUUAUUUUAUUGAUUGAUGGACUGAUUAAUUCUCUCUCCUCAAUAUUUCACAGUUAGGACACAGCUGUAGUUUCAGUCUGAAACACAACUUGAAAUUUAUGCCAUACUUGAUUCCUGUCAAUGUAUAGAAAUAUGUCUUCAGAGUUGAGUGUUGCCUUUGACUGGAGUCUAACAUGGUCUUCCCACUUACAGGGCGAAGAAAGAUGUGCAGUAAGUUUCUGUGAUAAUAAUGCUGGAGAUGGUAUUGUAGUAAUGUUACAGCAGCCUGAGCUGCAGUAACUCACUCUACUAUUCAGGUUAUGGCUGUAACUAUCAUACACAUGCAUGAAGGACAAAACCCAAGGGAAAGUGCAAAAUGAUCCUCCGAGGAACUGGUUCCAUCCUGGAUUCCAUGAAUUAUACCUGGAUCAAGGGCUGACAUCUCAAGAUCACACCAGUGCCUGUCUUUUUUUGUCUUUAAUAGUCAUUGUUUAACAGAAGCAUCUUGCCAUACCAGUUCGUUUUUAUUUUCUAUCUAAUCAAUCAUAUUGCUGAUUUAGUAAAUAAUCAAACUUACUAAGUCAUUUUUUUACUAAUUCAUUCAUUUUUUAAAUUCCUUCAAAGCUUCUUAUUCUUCUGUUUCCCAAGAGUUCUCUUUUGAAAGCUGCUUCUUAGUUAAGUACUGUUUGAUUUGAUUAAUUUUAACCUGAACAAGAAAAAAAAUAGCCUGUUGCAGUUUUCAUACUCAUGCUAGUAUGAGGGCAAAGAAAAAGAGUGAUUACUGUUACAUUCGUGCACAAGAAAAAUAAGCUGCAAUGUACUUAGUAGUUAUGUAACUGCACAGUUAUGCAGUUAUGGCCCCCUCUACCAGAUAUGAAAUUAUAUAUGCCCCCAAAAGUAAAUCUCUUGACUUAAAAGGGUUUCAUGAUUUCAGCCAGGUUUGCAAUUUGCUGUCUUCUUUUUCAUUACCAUGGACUCUUUUGUAGUCAUAUUAAUGUUUACAGUGUAAACACAGCAUCUAUUAUAGUAAAAAAAAGUAAAUAGUAUAUAAGUAUGUGCUGAAGAAUCACCACAUAAUGGAGUGAACAAGCGCUGGAAGCUAAAGAGUGUGUCGUACAUGUGAUGUACCUCCUAUUACAACAUUAAUUUGUUCACUGAAAUAUUUUAAAAUGUGUAGAUUUAAAAUAAUAAAGAAAAUCUUUUUUUUUUUACAUUUUGCUUUGAAUUUUUAUGUUGAAUUUUAUUGAAACAUACUUUUAAAAAUCAGUCAUUUUAGUAUCCAUUUUUAUCAAAUUAUAAUCUUUUACCACUUAAUAAUAGAGGAGCAAAAGCUUUUUAAGCGCAUAACAACUGUGACAAUUUGAUGGAAUUUAGUCUGAGUAAUAAUUUUAUCAAAUAAUAUAUUUCUUUUUAAAAAUACCAUUUAUUAAAACAUUAUCCACAAUUCAGGCAGAAUGGUAAAGCAAAUGUCAUUUUUAAACACACGACCCACCUUUGCUGAAAGCACAGCACAAUCACAACAUGUUAUAGUAAGCCGUGGCAUGCUUUUGGAACACAAGAUGAUUCUAUCAAUAGAUUAUUAAGCCUACAGAUGAGAGCCCAGAAUUUCUGAGCUAAACAGUACUCAUUCACUUCUACCUGUGCAUUGAUUUUAAUGAUUUUUUGUGCGUUUAACUGAAGACAGAAUAUGAUUCUCAGCACCUGGUGCAUGAGGACACACUUCUCUGACAUAGACUAAAGCAUUUGUGGGCUCCCAAAAAGCAAGUGUUGCACUCUUUGAACGUCUUCAGUUCUUCUGCCCCGAGGAAGAUGAAGUCCUGGGGAUGUGAUCUGGCAGGCACCAACGUAAAUGCAACCUCAGCGUGGAUACUUUUAGGAAAGAUCAAGUUAUCAGAGGUGUUUCUUUGUCAAUCACAGACCUUCAGGCGAAGAUCCUUAAAGUGAAGCUGUUCUAUAGAAAUGAGACCUGAACAGAAGAUGGAAGACAUACCCAAAUACAGUAAACUUUGAAUAUAAUAAGUAGCAAGUACUGACAGUAAAGCCAUUUAAGAAAUGGAAACUGUCACUCUGAGUGAGAGAGAACCAGAAAUGUUUCCUUCUCUUUGGCUCACUCACAAUACUCCCAAAGAACCCUUUCUUUUUAAACAUCAGAAUUAUCUUGAUCAAGCAUUAAGCUUAUGGCAUGUCUUCUUUUGCAUCUAUGUUUAUCUCUACAGAACAUUUUAACAUUUAUCCUAAAGAUUAAGACAUUUAUCUGGAGGAGGAGGAGCUGUGUUCUCCAUCUGCAGAAAUUUAGAAAAUAGAUUGCAGACUUGGUUAUGCAGGUAAACAUCUAUGCUGGUGAUGGUCAAUGAAAGAAUAG
rnacentral:lncRNA from 1 species